rnacentral:rRNA from 1 species
AUGAACGCUGGCGGCGUGCUUAACCCCUGCCAGUCGAACGGUGAAGGCGGAGCUUGCUCUGCUGGAUCAGUGGCGAACGGGUGAGUAACACGUGAGCAAUCUGCCCCUGACUCUGGGAUAAGCGCUGGAAACGGCGUCUAAUACUGGAUACGAGCUGCGAAGGCAUCUUCAGCAGCUGGGAAGAAUUUCGGUCAGGGAUGAGCUCGCGGCCUAUCAGCUUGUUGGUGAGGUAAUGGCUCACCAAGGCGUCGACGGGUAGCCGGCCUGAGAGGGUGACCGGCCACACUGGGACUGAGACACGGCCCAGACUCCUACGGGAGGCAGCAGUGGGGAAUAUUGCACAAUGGGCGAAAGCCUGAUGCAGCAACGCCGCGUGAGGGACGACGGCCUUCGGGUUGUAAACCUCUUUUAGCAGGGAAGAAGCGAAAGUGACGGUACCUGCAGAAAAAGCGCCGGCUAACUACGUG